rnacentral:rRNA from 1 species
CUACGGGGUGCAGCAGUCGAGAAUCUUCCGCAAUGGGCGCAAGCCUGACGGAGCAAUGCCGCGUGAGGGAUGACGGCCCUAGGGUUGUAAACCUCUGUCAGAAGGGACGAAGAACGUGACGGUACCUUCAGAGGAAGCCAUGGCUAACUACGUGCCAGCAGCCGCGGUAAUACGUAGAUGGCGAGCGUUAUUCGGAUUUACUGGGCGUAAAGGGUCCGUAGGGGGUCUGCCAAGUCUGAUGUGAAAUCCUGCGGCUCAACCGCGGAACUGCAUUGGAAACUGGCGGACUAGAGUGUGGAGGGGUGAGCGGAAUUCCUGGUGUAGCGGUGGAAUGCGUAGAUAUCAGGAAGAACACCGAUGGCGAAGGCGGCUCACUGGCGCAUCACUGACCCUGAGGGACGAAAGCGUGGGUAGCAAACAGGAUUAGAUACCCGUGUAGUC